AAUGAGGUGCCUGAAAAAGGGCUAUUUUGAUAGAAUAGAUCAUGUAAUUUUUUUACCCUCAUUA
rnacentral:tRNA from 1 species